rnacentral:lncRNA from 1 species
CUUUUGGAUCUCUACUCCCAUCUCCCCCUGAGUUCAGACUUGCACCACCUACUGGCUCUUCACUGACCGGCUAACUGAUGCUCAAAUUCGACGUAUCGAAAGCAGAACUCACAGUGUGCCCUUACAGACAAAGUAUGGGCACUAUUUCAUCAGCGGGAAGAAAGAGAAGUAUGGUGCCCUAAUAUAAAUCCAUCAGUGUGCCCUUCCAGGAUUCCUCAAGGAAUGAACAUUUUCCAGGACAAUGCCAACUCCUGAAGAUCUUGCUCUAAGUGGUCAAAGGGUGAGCAUACUGCAGGCAACAAAAGAUCGAGCAUACUACAGGCAACCAAGGGUCAAGACAAAUUUACAGGAUCCCUCCCUACCGUGGCCACUACCCAGCUUCCCAGUAGUGCCUUCCUAAUUUGCUGCCCAUGGUAAUGGAGACAAAUACCUGCAGAAGAACAUAAUCAAAACUCAAAGGAAAGUUGAGCAAGCACUGGAACAUUCACAAAGGCAGACAGCAGACGUGCUCAUCAAAAGCAUUUUUGCUGCAUAUUGGGUUAUCAGGAUGGACAUGCAUGGACUAAUCAAUGUGCUUCAAUGAGAGCUGUAGAAAAAUGGAAUGAGCAACAAAUGGAGUCAUCAUACAGCCAGCAUCAUAUAGAAGAAUGACAAAGAGAGAAAAAAUAAAACUUUCUGGGAAAGAAGGAAUAAGAAGCUGGAUUGGCAGAAAGAUCAAUGUGGUUUUCCCUAGAGCUUCCUGGGCAGAGCACAGAAAAGGCUGGUUGCCUAUGGAGAACUACAAAUUGAAGAGUUUCUUAAUCAGUCCACUGUUCACUUGAUUCCCAGACACAGACAACAUGAGUUUAAUUAUCCGGAGACAUUUCAAAGGAUGUUGAUGUUUCAUGAUGGGAAAACGGCUACUUCUACAAAGAAUUGAUCUUUCUGAAUAGAAAGAAGGUCAUUCCUGUGAGCACUGUAUAUUUUGCCAACAGAAUUAGACUGGUCAGUUAAGAAGUAUGCCUUAAUUAUUAAGAGCAUAGGAUCAGGCAGUCUGAGCUCUGAGUUCAAAAUCCUAACCUUACCCUUACCAACCAAGUGCCUAUUGGGUACAGAAUCAUAACACUUCGGUAAAAUGAUUCCCGUGAACACAAAAUAUACGGUACUCUCAUGAGCACCAUAUAUUUUUCCAACAGAAUUAGACUGGUCAGUUAGGAAUUAGACUGUUUUAAUUGUUAAGAGUACAGGAUCAGGAAGUCUGAGUUCUGAGUUCAAAAUCCUAACCUUGCUUUUACCAACCAAGUGCCCAUUGAGUACAGAAUCAUAACAAUUGGAUGAAAUGAUUAGCAUGACAGUGCCUAGAUGAUAUGGUGUUGUAUAUAUUCAAUAUGAUGUAAUUUUCCAAUAUCCAUUGAAUGUGUACCAUGUGGAUACAAGGAGAACAAGAAGAUGAAGUCUUUCUCAUUGGGAAGCUCACAUCUUAGUGACCCUCCAGAAUUAAUAUAUCUAAAGACUAAGGACAGUACCAAACACAAAGUAAUUGCUAUCUAUGCUGUUAUUCAUGCAAAUGAUUAAAUCAGUGCACCCCCUCCCAAUCAUGGAUUGCUCUAAUAUUACAUAUCACUCUUAUAUUAUACCUUCCUCCAGACAGUAAAUGGAAAUCUGCACUCCUAGAGUUUUGUGUUGUUAUUCUUAAUGAUGAUAUGGCAAGAGACUGCAAACAUCCUGAUUUGCAAGGCUAGGGAGCUUGGAAAUGCCAGGAAAUAUGGGAAAAAUCAAACCCCAUUCUUUCAACUCACUGGCGAUUUUUUCCUGGCUACACUGUCUUCAUUUAAUCUACAUUUCCCUACCAGCAGGUGCUCACCAACUACCAUUGGUGAAGGCACCAGUGAGUUUCUGGUAAGGAUCUGAGUUGUUCCUGACCACAGAUUGGAGGAACCAUGUGGGAAAAGGUGUAGCAUUGCAUUCUCUUGGAACACAGACUUUCGUCAUUUGGCAAAGAGAUUCAUCUUGCAUUUUUUAGUAUGAUGGCAAGCAAUACAUGAUGGCAAGCAAUACUUAACUUCAUAACCUUGAUUCAUAUCCUUCCCCCUAAUGCUCCUAACAGGACAACUGAAAUUUAUAUUGCCUGAUUGAAAAGAGGCUUUAUUUGACCCAGACACAAAGUUAGCUUUCCAAUACUUCCCUAGCUUCCAAGCCAUAAAAAAUUAAAUGCCUGGAAUGUGUACCUUACAAGAUAAAAUAAAUGAGAUAACUUUUUACUGGUAAACAAUCAAUAGCCUAUUAAAAUAAAACUAGCAUACAAUUCUCUGAUUUUUGUAGAGGGACAUUUUAUUUUGGUCCUGUAAGUUUCCCUAGUAGAGCUGGAAUAAUUGUAGAAUAGAUUUUGGAAGUAGUAUGUUCAGGCAUAAAAUAAUGCAAUAUGCAAUAACUCAAGUUGAUAAACAGGUUAAUUGCAAUGAUGCUUGGCACGUAGAUCUUUUUCUGCUAAGACUUUGAAAGUUAGAAAAACUCAUAAUAUUUAUGUUUGUCAUUUGAAGAAUUUAAGGGGUUAUUAAUAUUCAGAAACAUGUACUAAUUUCCUUUGAAGGGAGAUAACUUACUGGCUGUAAAAUAAAUAUUGGCCUUGGAACUGGACAAACUGAGCUUAAAUCCUGGCUCCUUCACUUAUUUGCUAUGUGACUUUAGAUAAAUGAUUUAAUCUUGAUUUUUUAAAUCUGAAAAAUAGGGUUAAUGAUACCUGAUGCUUUAGUAGUACAAUGAGGUAUUCCACAAAGAUAGUGGAAAACAGGGAAAUUAGGUUGCAUGUAACUACUAUCUUAGGAGCUUUAACAAAAUAAUAAAAUACCUGGGUUCUCAACCCCAGAAUUCUGAUAUAAUUAGACUUGAAUGAGGUUGAGGCACAGUAUUUUUGUCAAAAUCCAGACAGACAUGGUCCCUAUCUCUCAUGAAUUGCACAAUACAGUAGAAGUUACUGACGUUAUAGGUGAAGAACUAAAUUGAAUAUGAGUUUUAGAGCCAGGAAGAUCUGUGAUAUUUUGCUAGCUGUGUGGCCUUGGGCAAUAACUUAAUUUUCCUGAGUCUCAGUUUCCCCAUGUAUAAACACUAACGUUAAUGCAUUUGUAUCUCUUAGUAUAGUGAUUUAGGACUGCCACAUAGUAGGUGCGUCCUAAAUAUCAUUAUUCAUUAUAAUUUCACAAGUAUUAUUGGUAAUAUUUUACCUCAAAAAGAUACUAUGACUGAUCGUUUAGGUCUACAAGUAUCUAAUUGCUCAGUUGUAAUAUUUCACUUUAAAGUGAAUAAGGUCUCCAAAAGGUUAAAAAAAAAAUCACAGUUCUAUCUUAUUAGUGUUGAAAUGGGGGCAGUUACAGCCUCUUUUCCAUGCCACUUCACUAGUACUAGUACUGUCAAUACAUUUCUUCAUAAAAUAUAUCCAUCAGACAUGGAAUAUUAGGUAUUCAGAGUUGAUCUGUACUUUCAUAUACAUAUUGAUUUAAACAACAUAAUUUUGUGAUUUUGUUUUCAAUUUCCAUCUUGCAUGUUUUAGAAUUUCAUCUUCUAUCUUGGUAUAUGGAACAAUGUGUCAAUAAACAUCAGUGAGCAUAAAGGAAGGAUGACUCAACAAAUUCUUGCAUCCAGUUCAAUUUCAAUUCAGG